rnacentral:rRNA from 1 species
UACGUAGGGUGCGAGCGUUGUCCGGAAUUACUGGGCGUAAAGAGCUCGUAGGUGGUUUGUCGCGUUGUCCGUGAAAACUCACAGCUCAACUGUGGGCGUGCGGGCGAUACGGGCAGACUGGAGUACUGCAGGGGAGACUGGAAUUCCUGGUGUAGCGGUGGAAUGCGCAGAUAUCAGGAGGAACACCGGUGGCGAAGGCGGCAUCCUGGACCGAGAUUGACGCUGAUGAGCGAAAGCUAGGGGAGCAAACGGG